UGGACAAGUUCUGGAUUUGUUCGGAUCACAUAAAAGCAGAAAACUUGAAAACAACAUGAUCAUCUUUUUCUACCAGACUUUUCUACUUUUACAACAAGGUGCAAAAAAUUUAAAAACAUCAUCAAAAACACAGAAAACUAUUACAAACAACAAUCAUUACCUCGUCUUUACCGUGAAAACAUCUGCCUGUCAAUAAUCGAGUAUAUAAAAGUCCCAAAUACUAAAGACAGGAAUAGAAAUACGUCUGACGGGGAAAAAAAAUCCUUGAACUAAAAAAUUUAAAUUUUUGAGUGUGAUUACGAAGUGUCUGCUGUUCUUUGGCUCAAAAUAGAUUUAUUAUGAAAAUAAAAAGCUGGUUUGAAUUCCUCCAAAGACAAAAAAGCUACAAAUAUAUAAAAAAACAUAUUUGACAUGUUUAUAAAAUUGAGUUUCCUUAAUUAUUCAGUUUAAAUUUUUUGAAAACCAACCCUUGAUUUGAAUUCCUGAAACAAAAGUAAAAAAGGAAAGUGAUUCAACACUCUUGAUUUCCAAGAAUAAAGAGGAAUAGAAAUACAAAUAAAGCCAAAGCCGUGUCCCAGUUCAGGGUCUACAGCCUUAAAAACCAGACUGCAGUCACCCGUCCUCAUGUGGUCCUUCAAAUCUGGGAAAUCCUGUUCGACUUAGUGAACAGAAGACGUGAUGGUCAGGUUUAGGUGCUAGUGGGCCUGCAAGGGUGUGCACUCUGCAGUUCUACAAUAGUGCAGUUCCCCAAGUGUCCACUAGAGGCAAAACUUUUUUUUUUCCUGUCUGAACCAAAGACUGUAUAGACGUUUUAUUCUGAUUUUGAUGCAACGAAAGACAAAGUGAUUUUUCAAUUAAGAGACAUUUUAUCGCAGCUGUGUCAGCGAGAAAACCGUCUAUACAGAAUGGGCGCCCUCUGGUGACGGGCUGCAGUAUAGGUCAUAAAUCCCGCCUCCUCCAGCAAUCCCUAUGGAGCCGUGGACAAACUUUAGAAGUUAAUUACACAGAAUAUAAAUGUUUCUGAUGUUGACAUGUAGUUACUGUCAGACUGGUUUGUGCUCAAGUCCUUUUUUUUCUGUGCAGCUCCAUUUUUAAAAGUUAUUAGGGGGUUCAUGUUUUCUAUGAUUGACACCUGAUUCAGCCUAUGGGCGUAUGAAGAUUACGUCGCUCAUUCGGGGGAUACCCUAUUUGAGCCGAACGUCAUCACAGUGACUCUCCCGCCAAAUGUGUACAACGCUACUGCGCAAGUGGUGGUGAAAAUCCCAGAAAUACAGAGAGCAAUUCGGCUUCAAAUUCGUAUAAUGACAGAAGGCGGAGCCAAGUUGUCCAUAGUCUACAGUCUAUGGUCUGAACAGCUUGAUGAUCCCUGUUAAAGUGUUUUUUUCAAAUAUAUUUAAGUUACAAGAUCGGCGAAUCAGAAGCAGUGCUAACUUGACUGACAGGUAAUCACGCUGUAGCUGAAGACCCGCCUCGGGUAGGUCGACUCAAACUUAGGCCAGCAUUUCCAGCAUGGCAACUACCGCCAACAGGUCUCUGUCAUGUUGAUCCAGCUGGUUUGUGGUCGGCAUGGUUUCUUACUGUAUUUAGAUUCAGUGCGUGUCAGACCAGGUCCCCGGUUCUCUGCAUUAGUACAGGUCUACGUAAACCUACGGCACAGAUUAGGUGGAGAAGUCUAAAUCGGGUUUUCUGUAGACCACAUCACCUUCAGAGGAUCCUGACCCCUGGACUGGGACUCGGCUUUGACCUGCAGUUGGUUUUAUAACAAUUUAAAUCUUUGCAGGUUUGUGUUUAAUACAAACUCCUUUUCAGUGAACAGACUUGAGUAUUUAUUAAACCGUUUCUCCUCCAAUCAGAGUCCAGAACAAACCCAUCACAGGCGGCGCCAAUUAGUGAUCCAUGUGAAAACAAACAUUGCAAAAAGUCCCACUCAUGGAAACAAGGUUUUCAUCAGUAGUUACUUUUGAUUGUGCUAAAGUCGAAUCCUCGCCUACAAACGCCCCAAUAACCACUUUACGAGAAAGUGUCAAACCGUCUCCGA